AAUUGAUGAAAGGUCUUGUGAACAGUACAUCAAUUGGACAUAUUUAAGCUGUAUUUUACGGUACUGCCACUGUAUUAUUGAAAAAGAGACUGCAAAAUCGAAUUAGAGCUGACAACACGAGGGAGGAAGCCCACCGUCUGCGACGGUGAUUUCGCCUGAUGAACAGUCGUUACUGGGUGUAUUUGGCUUCAUUGGCCCUUUAAUUGUCAUAUUCGGUGGCCUCCUCUCUCCAUCUCUUCGCUUCUCUGUUUUCCUCUUUGGAUUUUUGCCCUAAUUUCAGACGAGAGAGAGAGAAACGUGAGAGCAGGGGAGACGUCGUGCACCAGCGGCGGAGCGCGGUGGAUGGCAACCGCAUAAGGCGGUCGGCUUGUGGCCCUUUUCUCAUGAUCAGGUGUCUGAGGUUUGGGGCUUUGGACUACCACGAUCACGGUGAACAAUGUAGCAUCGACUAGGUAGGUUAUUUCUAUAUUUUUUUCUGAUCUUUUGGUAUUGUACACUUUGUUUGAUGAUUUUUUAAAAGAAUCGAAUUUCUGAGGUGGAAUUUUCAUGUGUAUAUAGAAACCAGUGGAUCUGAUAAUAUAUUGAAGUUCAAUUUCUAUGUCCA